rnacentral:rRNA from 1 species
GAUGAACGCUGGCGGCGUGCCUAAUACAUGCAAGUCGAGCGAACGGACGAGAAGAUUGCUUUUCUGAUGUUAGCGGCGGACGGGUGAGUAACACGUGGAUAACCUACUUAUAAGACUGGGAUAACUUCGGGAAACCGGAGCUAAUACCGGAUAAUAUUUUGAACCGCAUGGUUCAAAAGUGAAAGACGGUCUUGCUGUCACUUAUAGAUGGAUCCGCGUUGGAUUAGCUAGUUGGUAAGGUAACGGCCUACCAAGGAAACGAUGCAUAGCCGACCUGAGAGGGUGAUCGGCCACACUGGAACUGAGACACGGUCCAGACUCCUACGGGAGGCAGCAGUAGGGAAUCUUCCGCAAUGGGCGAAAGCCUGACGGAGCAACGCCGCGUGAGUGAUGAAGGUCUUCGGAUCGUAAAACUCUGUUAUUAGGGAAGAACAUAUGUGUAAGUAACUGUGAACAUCUUGACGGUACCUAAUCAGAAAGCCACGGCUAACUACGUG